CAGCGCCGCGGUAAUACGGAGGAUCCAAGCGUUAUCCGGAAUCAUUGGGUUUAAAGGGUCCGUAGGCGGUCUUGUAAGUCAGUGGUGAAAGCCCAUCGCUCAACGGUGGAACGGCCAUUGAUACUGCAGGACUUGAAUUAUUGGGAAGUAACUAGAAUAUGUAGUGUAGCGGUGAAAUGCUUAGAGAUUACAUGGAAUACCAAUUGCGAAGGCAGGUUACUACCAAUUGAUUGACGCUGAUGGACGAAAGCGUGGGUAGCGAACAGGAUUAGAUACCCCGGUAGUCCCUGUCUCUUAUACA
rnacentral:rRNA from 1 species